GACGAACGCUGGCGGCGUGCUUAACACAUGCAAGUCGUACGGUAAGGCCCUUUCGGGGGUACACGAGUGGCGAACGGGUGAGUAACACGUGAGUAACCUGCCCACAACUUUGGGAUAACGCUAGGAAACUGGUGCUAAUACUGGAUAUGUGCUCCUGCUGCAUGGUGGGGGUUGGAAAGCUCCGGCGGUUGUGGAUGGACUCGCGGCCUAUCAGCUUGUUGGUGGGGUAGUGGCCUACCAAGGCGGCGACGGGUAGCCGGCCUGAGAGGGUGACCGGCCACAUUGGGACUGAGAUACGGCCCAGACUCCUACGGGAGGCAGCAGUGGGGAAUAUUGCACAAUGGGCGCAAGCCUGAUGCAGCAACGCUGCGUGCGGGAUGACGGCCUUCGGGUUGUAAACCGCUUUCAGCAGGGACGAAGCUUUUUGUGACGGUACCUGCAGAAGAAGCACCGGCUAACUACGUG
rnacentral:rRNA from 1 species